rnacentral:lncRNA from 1 species
GAGGAAGGAAGAACAGGUUAGCAAAUGCCUGGAGGAGCCACGCCCCCUCUCGAAGCAGUCUGCUGGGGCCUCUGCCCACUUUUAUCUCUGGCCAGAGGUGUUCCUAUGGGGCUUCCAUCAGCAAGAAAACGCAAUAGUACAUGCUUUGUCACAUGACCACAUUGCUGUAAAUAUCAAGGCUCUGUCUGAGGGGAAUACAGGCACAGGACAAGGACACCCAUCCAAUGGCCCCUUCCAAGGAAAGUCUAUGCUUCUCCUGAGAGCGGUCUUUUGCAUAUCAUUGCUGACCCCAAGUGAAUAUUUCCCUUCCUGUGCUUUUGAGAACAAAACAGGCAGCAGCAGAGCAAGGCAACCCCCUUCAUGUUGCUUUAAAUUUUAAUGUUUGUCUGGAAACAGUUCUUCCCCGGCUAUCAUAUCAGGGUAAAGAACAAAGAGAAUCUGUCCUUACUUACAUCCACUGCACAUUAGCGGCAUCUAAAUCUUAACUGCUGUUUUGUAAGCUUUAUGGAAAUUCUCUCUGCUUUGGUUCUUUUAAAAUGCUCUUUUCCAGGCCAGCGAGAUGGCUCAGUGGGUAAAGGAGCUUGCUGCCAAGCCUGAUGACUUAUGGUCUACCUCAUAGACCACACUGGAAAGAGAGAACCACCUCCCACAAACACUUUUCUGACUUUCAUGUGUGUAGUGGCACUCCCAUGCCCAACACACAUACACAAAUGCACACAAAAGUAAUCAAAUGUAAAAUGCAAAACAAAACAAACAAAAAAAAAAACC